rnacentral:misc_RNA from 1 species
UCUCCGUUGGUGAACCAGCGGAGGGAUCAUUACCGAGUUAUUCUACUCCAAAACCCCUGUGAACUUAUACCUUUACUGUUGCUUCGGCGGGUUAACGCCCCGGAAGGCCCGCGAGGGCCGCCGGAACCAGGCGCCCGCCGGGGGACCCAAACCCUUGUAGCUUUUUAUAGCAUGUCUGAGUGGAAUCAUAAACAAAUGAAUCAAAACUUUCAACAACGGAUCUCUUGGUUCUG